GACGAACGCUGGCGGCGUGCCUAAUACAUGCAAGUCGAGCGAGUCUGCCUUGAAGUUCGGAGUGCUUCCACUCUGUGAAACAAGAUACAGGCUAGCGGCGGACGGGUGAGUAACACGUGGGUAACCUGCCCAAGAGAUCGGGAUAACACCUGGAAACAGAUGCUAAUACCGGAUAAUAACAAAUGAUGCCUAUCAAGUGUUUACAAGAUGGUUCUGCUAUCACUCUUGGAUGGGUCUGCGGUGCAUUAUCUAGUUGGUAGGGUAACGGCCUACCAAGGCGAUGAUGCAUAGCCGAGUUGCGAGACUGAUCGGCCACAUUGGGACUGAGACACGGCCCAGACUCCUACGGGAGGCAGCAGUAGGGAAUCUUCCACAAUGGACGCAAGUCUGAUGGAGCAACGCCGCGUGAGUGAAGAAGGGUUUCGGCUCGUAAAGCUCUGUUGUUGGUGAAGAACGACAGUGGUAGUAACUGACCUUUGUUUGACGGUAAUCAAUUAGAAAGUCACGGCUAACUACGUG
rnacentral:rRNA from 1 species